AGGCCCAAUAAUCUCAAUAAAGUUAAUAACUCCCACAUUGCUCCUCACAACAUAGCUUUGCUUCUUUAUCUAUGGCUGAACAACAAUGGAGCUCGUCCCUUCGGGGACAUCCGAUAAAAUUGGAACGAUACAGAGAAGAUUAGCAUGGCCCCUGCGCAAGGAUGACACGCAUAAAUCGAGAAAUGAUGGCGAAAUCGAGAUGAGAAAGAGAAUCAAUUGCCUAUUCCAAACAAAUGCAUCCAUUGGUAUUUGCUGAAAUUCGACACUUUUCCAUGGGGCGGGAACUCAUCGCGACCGUAGUCCUUUUCAUGACAUUACCAGAAACAGAGACAUCGUUGGGUAUGGUCUGAAACACUACUUGUUCUUACAUUCCCCUCGGCAACAGGGGAUGUGCCAUGGCAUGGCUUACUCUGGGAAUGUGAUAAGUGUUUAAUGGCGACUAUACUCUUAGUCGCAAAGUUCAAUUGUAGUCGAACUUUCUAGGUUUUAGCAUCAAAGACCAUAGGUUUGUCCAUCUAGGUUUUUUAUACAUCACACUGAAUAUAGAUAGGAAAUAGGAAAUACAUGUAAUAUUAAGUACUCCCUCCGUCUCACUUCUCAUGUCCACUUUUCCAUUUUCAUUCGUCCACUUAUUUUGUCAUUGGGAAAAAAUUAUAUACUCUAAUCUUAUUUUAAAAAAUUUAAUUA